rfam:Hordeum vulgare subsp. vulgare, WGS project CAJW01000000 data, contig: morex_contig_1579432
UAUAUACUUUCUCCGUCCAAAAUUAUUUGUCAUGUAAAUAUAUAAAAAUGAAUGUAUCUAGAAUUAAAAUACAUCUAAAUACAUUCAUCCUAUGAUAAGUAUUUUUGAACGGAGGAAGUAGCUC